AUAAAAUUUCACUCCCUAUAAACUACAAACAUAAAUAACUAAAACAAUAACCAAUCUCCCUUAGUAUUAUAAAAGAAAAAUGAAAUAAAAUGAAAAAUAAAAAAAAAAAAGGAGUACACAACGUACCUUUUGCAUAAUGGAUUAACAAGAUUUUAAGGAAAACCCUCCUACACCCGAAACAUGAAGAGCUAAUUAUUUCUUCUUUUAGAGAAAUUACCCACUGUUGCAAGAGUGAAUAAAAAGGAAUAAUUAGAAGUAAAAUGCUAAACGUAUCAUGUAAUAGCUGGUUUCUAAGGAAAAUAGUAUAAGCUAUAUCUCAAUAAAAAAAAUAAACUCUUACAGAACAAAUAAAAAAUUUGAAGAUAAGAAGAUAGAAGACAAGUUCUACCUUCUAAAAGGAAACAACCAAAAAUAAAGGAAAAGAAAUCAAAGAAUAAAACCUAGUAGGCCUAAAAGCAGCCACCAAAAAAUAAAGCGUUAAAGCAAAAACAAAAUAUAUCCAAAAAUUUACUCUUUAAACUAAACCUUAUCCCCCAGAGUACUUAGAAAAAUAUAAUGUUAAUACUAGUAAAUACUCUUAUCUAAAGAAAAAAUAACCUCAAUCCAACAACCCAACCUAUUAAGCCAAGAAAAAUUAAAAGUUUUAUCAACUCAGACGAUACGAAAACAGAAAAAAAAGAAAAAAGGAACUAGGCAAAGCAAGAAAAGGACUGUUUACCAAAAACAUAGCUCCUCGAAACAACAAAUGAAGAGUAAAGCCUGCCCAAUGGAAAUAACUAAAUGGCCGCGGUACUUUGACCGUGCAAAGGUAGCAUAAUCAUUUGUCUUUUAAAUGAAGACUUGUAUGAACGGCACAACAUUUUCUAACUGUCUCUUUUCUUCACCUUCUAAACUCCUAUUAAUGUGAAGAAACAUUAAUAAAAAAGAAAGACGAGAAGACCCUGUCGAGCUUAAAUUUUUAACAGAACAAAAUCUUAUUUUUUAUAAAUAAAGAAACUUCUAUAAAAAAAUUUUGGUUGGGGCAACCAUGGAGAAAAAACAACCUCCAACAAAAAAAAAGAAACAUAAAUCAUUAAAAAUAAAUAACCCAUAUCCUAUGAAAAUAAAAAAAGUUACCGCAGGGAUAACAGCGUCAUCUCCUUUCAGAGUCCAAAUUGACAAGGAGGAUUGCGACCUCGAUGUUGGAUUAGGGUAACCUAAGGGUGCAGAAGCUCUUAAAGGCCGGACUGUUCGUCCAAUAAUCCCCCACAUGAUCUGAGUUCAGACCGACGCAAGUCAGGUCAGCUUCUAUCUUCUUUUAAAAAACUUCUCUAGUACGAAAGGAUCGAGAAGAAAUCUCCAAUAAUAUUCAUCAAGAGAUAA
rnacentral:rRNA from 1 species